CCUCGUCCAGUUCUCUCCCCCGACGCCAGUUUCCUCGCUGCCUCUGACCAAUACAGGCAGUUUCGGAAGGGCGUGAUGCCUUUGUGUGUGUGUGUGGGUGGGUGUCUGACUCCUUUCUGCUUCUGUCAACUGGCAGGGUCAAGGCGAACGGUGUACACGCGGCGCUCUAAGUGGAAUUUCGAAAGUUCUGAGAACUGAAACAUUAAAAUUCCGGAGCUGUGAAUUGCGCGGAGUAAACCCGAGUGUCCUCUGAUACUGAACCCAAUCAGAGAAUUGUUGUUGCGUCUGAAGGACAACAUUCAUCUGCCCUCGAGAUCGAUUUCACUACCGACGGUGUCAACAAGACGUGUCUCGGCAGGAGGAUGGUGCAAGCCGCCCCACCACAGCCGCUUUCAACGCCACCGAACAUGGCACUCGCCACACGAGAGAAAGAAGAAGGCAAAAGAAAGGAAAAAUGGAAAAGAAGAAGAGCGUAAUGCGAGCAGUGAUCGCACAUUAGUUAUGGUGUGUUACUACUCUUACUGAAUGAAGCGACGCCCGCCUAAGUAUGGGCGGGCAGGAACCUCACUUUGAAGGUUUGGAAAAGGGGCGAGUACAAGCCGUAGAGUUCAGCGAGCCACUCAUUCAGCACAUCUCUCCAAGCAUCUGAUUGACUGACAUCCAAAGACGUCACCAGAGAGAGACUUCAACUACCUACUCCAGACAUCGGCUCGUCUGAAAGGUGGACCAACUGAGAAAGCUGCCAAAUUAUGAUGAG